rnacentral:rRNA from 1 species
AAGAGGUACCGUCAUCACGCAGGGUAUUCGCCUACGCUUAUUCGUCCCUCUCCACAGAGCUUUACAACCCUAGGGCCUUCAUCGCUCACGCGGCGUCGCUGCGUCAGGCUUUCGCCCAUUGCGCAAGAUUCCC